GCCUGGGUGGCUCAGUUGGUUGGGCGUCUGACUUUGGCUCAGGUCAUGAUCUUGCAGUCUGUGAGUUCAAGCCCCAUGUCAGGCU
rfam:Felis catus isolate Cinnamon breed Abyssinian chromosome A2, whole genome shotgun sequence.